rnacentral:lncRNA from 1 species
CAAAAAAAAAAAAAAAUUCAACCAAGCAUAUUAUCACUACUUCCCCAUUUCCCUUGCUGGACUACAAGCUCCCGAUGGCAGGAACUGGGAGAAGCUACUGUGUUUUCCAGAGCUUGGAACAUAAGCACUCCAUGAAUGCAUACUGCACAAAUCAGCUAAUCACCGGAAGCCAGAGUAUUUUGGCGCCCUGACAGACUUGGAUUAGGUGAUGUUGCUUCUCAGAUGCUGAGAAAGUGUCCUGAUGCCGCAGUUGAGUGCUGACCCAGAUUUGGAAGGAGAUGAAAGGACUUUAAAAUAUUCUAACAACCCACAUUCCAAGAUUCACAUCUAUCCCAAGGUUCCCUGGCUCCUAAAUGGCUCAUGCAAAUCUUGAAGGAGUCUCUACUUUUUGAGGAGGAAAACAGCUCUUUAAUCUGGACUCCACGAUGUUGUUGAAAACACGCUUGCAGAGAUCCCGUGAAGAGAGUGAAAAGUCAAGCCACAAACUGGGAGAAGACAUUUGCAUUAUGUCUUGUCUCAAAGGACUCAUAUUCGGAAUAUAUAAAGAACCCUCACAAAUCAAUAAGCCAGGGUUCUAAAGGUCCAGUUUGGCUUAGCUGAUCCUCCAUUCAAGACUUGGAUAAAUGACUCUGCUUCAGGCUGUUGGAUUGGUUGGGUUCUGUCGGUGCCAAAUCCAAGGUUGGGUUUACUCUGCUCCACAUUUGAUAAUUCUCAGGAUAAGGAGAUGGGAUCUUCCUGUGUUGCCUAGGGUUGUCUCAAACUCCUGGCCUCAAGUGAUCUUCCUGCCUUGGCCUCCCAAAGUGCUG